GUAAAGAGUAGAAACUGAGCAACUUUUCCCAGUCAUUUAAAUCAAAUCACACUCUUGUUCCAUAGAUCUUUAUAUGUAAACGUAUGUGUGUGUAUAUAUAAAUAUACAAAAUAAAAUAUACAUAUAGUCAAAUAUAUACAUAGCUAAAUAUAUAUAUAUGAUUUGCCUCCACAAGACCCUAAUGCUCCCCUUUAUACAGCUAAACUUAACAUCUGUCUCUUUGGGGUGGCAUGGAGGACCGCAAAGCUUUGGAAGAGAUGGGCACUUGUAAUGAGAUCCCCUUUUUCAUUUCUUACAGCAGCAGAACAGAAAGAACGUCAGCGGAACAGAAAGGAGUCCCUGCUUUCAGAGGUGGCACAAAGCUCCAGAAUCACCACGGGCUUUGUGCUGGGUCAGCUGGCACCCACCUGGCAGGUUUUAGGAAGAACAAGAGCGUUCGUUUGAAUAGAUGGUCUGAGAAGCAAGCUCCUAGAUGGAGCAUCAAGUGGAACGCCCAUCCCACAGGUGGAUUUCUCUCUCUCUCUCUCUCUCUGUUUCUCUCUCUCUUUCCUGAACAUGAAUUCCCCUCUGGUUUCUGCUGCUUCUUUGACUCUUAUCUUGUGUUACAUGUGUUUUUUUCUCUAAGUAUGUGGAUAGCCUUCUCAACUAGGUUGGACCUUUGUGUUAGUUCCGUUGCUGCCAAGCGACUCCAAAAUGUAGCAACUUAAUAAGUAUUUGUUAUCUCGCUUGGUCACUGAGGGUCAGAAAUCUGCGAGCAGCUUAACGCAGGGGUCUGGCCCAGGCCUCUCCCGAGGUCGCAGUCAAGCUGUCAGCCAAGACUGACUGCUGUCAUCUGAAGGCUGGACUGGGGCUGGAGAAUCAGCUUCCAUGCUCACUCCCCUGGCUGCGGCAGGAACCUUUAGUUCCUAAGUUCCUCUCUGUGCCUCACCAUGUGGGACUCUCCACAGGGCAGCAUGGCAGCAGGCUUCCAUGAGUGAGCAAUCCAAGAGACAGCAAGACAGAAGCCAACGUCUUUAAUAACCUAGAUUCUGAGUGGCACACCAUCGCUUUGGUCCUAUACUGUUGGCCACACAGACCGACCCUGAUACAAUGUGGGAGGGAUCCACACAAGGAAGCAGGCACCAGGAAACAGCAUUAUUGAGAGCCAUCUCAAAGGCUGCCUGGCUACCAUGAGCCUCCUCUGAGAGACGGCUGCUUCGGACACAUCUUUUCACUGCCAAUAUUUGACACAGGUCUGGUCAGGUAGGAGGUGCCCAAUGAGGUUUGUUGAUGAUGAAGAGAUGUUGGGCACUCACCAUAAGCUGGAAUUAAAUGAAAAGUCCUCCUGAGGAUGAGGCAUAAUCAGAAAUAUUUCUUAAUAGACAUAAUUAAUACUGCAGAAUAUUUUUCUGAUUUUCAAUUGUUUUCAUUUAUAUUAAUAAAGUAAGGCUUGGGCCUAAGUAGGAUAAAAUUAAAUGUCCAGGGGAUGGCUUGAAAUGGGCCCUAACUGACUAUUUCCUCCCUAACUAUUAUGGUGGGCACUAAUUCUAUUCAAAACCACAAGAAGGAUAAGGCAUCAUCAGAGAAAGAUAAACCUCACACAAUUGGUUUUUAAAGAAAAUUUUUACAUCCCACAUUAUUCUAAAUGGGUUUAUAGUAAGCCCUUGCCUUUUUUUAUUCUCAGAAACUGAAGUUGGACUCCUUGAGAAGAAUGAUUAAUCUAAACUCACCAGCCAUUAACUAAGGAUUGGUUUAUUAUACAGACUUGAAGGAAGACCUCGUCUCCUCUCCUAACUUCUUUGCUCUCCAUGAGUUCUUAAUCUCCAAGACCAGACAAAAACAAAGGAUUUUUAGAGUAAGGUCGGUAUAAAAACUUCCCCACCAUUUUUUUUUACUGUUUUCCAAUUUACAGAAAAAUAAAGCUGGAGUAGAAAUAAA
rnacentral:lncRNA from 1 species